CCUACGGGUGGCUGCAGUAGGGAAUAUUGGACAAUGGGCGCAAGCCUGAUCCAGCCAUGCCGCGUGCAGGAUGAAGGCCCUAUGGGUCGUAAACUGCUUUUGUACGGGAAGAAACCUCACUACGUGUAGUGAGUUGACGGUACCGUGAGAAUAAGGAUCGGCUAACUUCGUGCCAGCAGCCGCGGUAAUACGAAGGAUCCAAGCGUUGUCCGGAUUUACUGGGUUUAAAGGGUGCGUAGGCGGACUUUUAAGUCAGUGGUGAAAGCUUGCAGCUU
rnacentral:rRNA from 1 species